ACGGUAUCAUAAGUCACUUCAGAGUCCCAGCAGAAACAUGGCAACAAGGAGCUUUCAUUACUUGCUCAGUUCAAAUCAACUCAGAAGAAAUUCUUACCAGUGAAAAUAUCUCCUAUAGGAGAGAGUCCCAACGUGUCAAUUGCCAUUUAAUGUAUUACUGGAAUUCAUUGAUGAUAAUACUCCCUCUCCUGAUGUUAGCUGCCACAAGUUGGAUUUAUAAGAGAUGUUAUUCAGGUAACUGCGGGAAAGAAUCAUCCACAGAUGCUAGACCACGUAAUCCAGAGCAGCAGACUGUCUAUGCUCAUUUAGCAUUCACUGUAGACUCAACAGUCUGAUGGGACACGCAUUCAUGAAUUGAAGAACACAUCCAAUAGUUUUUAUUUUCUCCCGUUUUGAAGUCAAUAAGAGACUUUAUUCAGUAAUAAUCAAAUGAAUAUUUCCUCCACUCUGUGUUAUGAAUCCCAAAGUCAUAAAGUGGAGGAUGUAUUCAGAAGAAGAAGUGACAUAAUGACGACUGAAGUUCCACUUGAUGAGGAUUGUGUCAUCGCUGCCCUAUGUAACAUAUAUACAUAUGCAUAUGUCAUUACGAAUGAUCAGAGUGGCGAAGGACAUUCCAAAAUAGAAGUAAUACAGCCGCUACUGACGACGGUUUUGUUUCAUAUUAUUGAUAUUCAUCCAGGU